UGGGGAAUAUUGCACAAUGGGGGAAACCCUGAUGCAGCGACGCCGCGUGAGUGAAGAAGUAUUUCGGUAUGUAAAGCUCUAUCAGCAGGGAAGAAGUUGACGGUACCUGAGUAAGAAGCCCCGGCUAACUACGUGCCAGCAGCCGCGGUAAUACGUAGGGGGCAAGCGUUAUCCGGAUUUACUGGGUGUAAAGGGAGCGUAGACGGCGAUGCAAGUCUGAAGUGAAAGCCCGGGGCUCAACCCCGGGACUGCUUUGGAAACUGUAUGGCUGGAGUGCUGGAGAGGCAAGUGGAAUUCCUAGUGUAGCGGUGAAAUGCGUAGAUAUUAGGAAGAACACCAGUGGCGAAGGCGGCUUGCUGGACAGUAACUGACGUUAAGGCUCGAAAGCGUGGGGAGCAACCAGG
rnacentral:rRNA from 1 species